CGUAGGGUGCAAGCGUUAUCCGGAAUCACUGGGCGUAAAGCGUGCGUAGGUGGGAAUUUAAGUGUGAUGUUAAAUCGUGUGGCUCAACCAUAUCGAUGCAUCGCAUACUGGGUUCCUAGAGGACGGCAGAGGCAAGUGGAAUUAGCAGUGUAGCAGUGAGAUGCGUAGAUAUUGCUAGGAACACCAAUGGCGAAGGCAGCUUGCUGGGCCACUCCUGACACUGAGGUACGAAAGCGUGGGGAGCGAACAGGAUUAGAUACCCUGGUAGUCCACGCCGUAAACGAUGCAUACUAGACGUAUGGGGUAUCGACCCCCUGUGCGUCGAAGCUAACGCGAUAAGUAUGCCGCCUGGGAAGUACGGCCGCAAGGCUA
rnacentral:rRNA from 1 species